UUCGCCCUUAGAGUUUGAUCCUGGCUCAGGACGAACGCUGGCGGCGUGCUUAACACAUGCAAGUCGAGCGAAGUGUUUAGGAUGAUCUAUUCGUAGUGAAUCCUAAACAUCUUAGCGGCGGAUGGGUGAGUAACGCGUGAGAAACCUGCCUUUCACAAAGGGAUAGCCUCGGGAAACUGGGAUUAAUACCUUAUGAUACUUUUACUUCACAUGGAGAAAAAGUUAAAGCGUAAAGCGGUGAAAGAUGGUCUCGCGUCCCAUUAGUUAGUUGGUGAGGUAAAGGCUCACCAAGACGAUGAUGGGUAACCGGCCUGAGAGGGUGAACGGUCACACUGGAACUGAGACACGGUCCAGACUCCUACGGGAGGCAGCAGUGGGGAAUAUUGCACAAUGGAGGAAACUCUGAUGCAGCGACGCCGCGUGAAUGAUGAAGGCUUUCGAGUCGUAAAAUUCUGUCCUAGGGGACGAUAAUGACGGUACCCUAGGAGGAAGCCCCGGCUAACUACGUGCCAGCAGCCGCGGUAAUACGUAGGGGGCAAGCGUUGUCCGGAUUUAUUGGGCGUAAAGGGUACGCAGGUGGUCUUAUAAGUCAGAUGUGAAAUCUUACGGCUCAACCGUAAUCAGCAUUUGAAACUGUAAGACUUGAAUCAAGGAGAGGAAAGUGGAAUUCCUAGUGUAGCGGUGAAAUGCGUAGAUAUUAGGAGGAAUACCAGUGGCGAAGGCGACUUUCUGGACUUGUAUUGACACUGAGGUACGAAAGCGUGGGGAGCAAACAGGAUUAGAUACCCUGGUAGUCCACGCCGUAAACGAUGAGUGCUAGGUGUAGGGGGUAUCGACUCCCUCUGUACCGAAGCAAACGCAUUAAGUAUCCCGCCCGAGUAGUACGGUCGCAAGGCUAAAACUCAAAGAAAUAGACGGGGACCCGCACAAGCAGCGGAGCAUGUGGUUUAAUUUGAAGCAACGCGAAGAACCUUACCAAGAAUUGACAUCUAUAUGCCAACUCACGAAAUUGAGUCUUUUUUCGGAACAUAUAGACAGGUGGUGCACGGUUGUCGUCAGCUCGUGUCGUGAGAUGUUUGGUUAAGUCCAGCAACGAGCGCAACCCUUUUUACUAGUUGCCAAUAUUAAGUUAGGAACUCUAGUGAUACUGCCGUAGAUAAUACGGAGGAAGGUGGGGAGGACGUCAAAUCAUCAUGCCCCUUAUAUCUUGGGCUACACACGUGCUACAAUGGCCAUUACAAAGAGCUGCAAUAUGGUAACAUGGAGCAAAUCUCAUAAAAAUGGUCUCAGUUCGGAUUGUGGGCUGCAACUCGCCCACACGAAGUCGGAGUUGCUAGUAAUCCCGAAUCAGAACGUCGGGGUGAAAAAGGGCCCGGGUCUUGCACACACCGCCCGUC
rnacentral:rRNA from 1 species